GAUGAACGCUAGCUACAGGCUUAACACAUGCAAGUCGAGGGGCAGCAUGAGGUCAGCUUGCUGACUUUGAUGGCGACCGGCGCACGGGUGAGUAACGCGUAUCCAACCUGCCCAUAACUAAGGGAUAAUCCGUAGAAAUGCGGUCUAAUACCUUAUGUUGUCCGAGGAAGACAUCUGAUUCGGACGAAAGAUUUAUCGGUUAUGGAUGGGGAUGCGUCUGAUUAGCUUGUUGGCGGGUAACGGCCCACCAAGGCGACGAUCAGUAGGGGUUCUGAGAGGAAGGUCCCCCACAUUGGAACUGAGACACGGUCCAAACUCCUACGGGAGGCAGCAGUGAGGAAUAUUGGUCAAUGGACGAGAGUCUGAACCAGCCAAGUAGCGUGCAGGAUGACGGCCCUAUGGGUUGUAAACUGCUUUUAUACGGGGAUAAAAGGUGUCACGUGUGACAUUUUGCAGGUACCGUAUGAAUAAGGACCGGCUAAUUCCGUG
rnacentral:rRNA from 1 species